rnacentral:rRNA from 1 species
UACGUAGGGGGCAAGCGUUGUCCGGAAUCAUUGGGCGUAAAGAGCGCGUAGGCGGCGCGGUACGACCGCUGUGAAAGCCCCCAGCUCAACUGGGGAGGGUCAGCGGUAACGGCCGUGCUUUGAGUGCAGGAGAGGGAAGUGGAACUCCGGGAGUAGCGGUGAAAUGCGUAGAGACCCGGAGGAACACCAGUGGCGAAGGCGGCUUCCUGGUCUGCGACUGACGCUGUGGCGCGAAAGCUAGGGGAGCAAACGGG